rnacentral:pre_miRNA from 1 species
GCGAGAGACGACGGUGUUUGCGAAAGAUAGGCACAUUCGUGAUCUACCCUGUAGAUCCGGGCUUUUGUAGAAUUGUAGAUAUCAGAAGCUCGUCUCUACAGGUAUCUUACGGAUGACAU